AUUGAACGCUGGCGGCGUGCUUUACACAUGCAAGUCGAACGGUAACAGGGUGCUUGCACCGCUGACGAGUGGCGAACGGGUGAGUAAUGCGUCGGAACGUGCCGAGUAGUGGGGGAUAACGCAGCGAAAGUUGUGCUAAUACCGCAUACGUACUGAGGUAGAAAGUGGGGGACCUUCGGGCCUCACGCUAUUCGAGCGGCCGACGUCUGAUUAGCUAGUAGGUGAGGUAAAGGCUCACCUAGGCGACGAUCAGUAGCGGGUCUGAGAGGAUGAUCCGCCACACUGGGACUGAGACACGGCCCAGACUCCUACGGGAGGCAGCAGUGGGGGGUUUUGGACAAUGGGCGAAAGCCUGAUCCAGCCAUGCCGCGUGUCUGAAGAAGGCCUUCGGGUUGUAAAGGACUUUUGUCAGGGAGGAAAUCCCUAGUGCUAAUAACACUGAGGGAUGACAGUACCUGAAGAAUAAGCACCGGCUAACUGCGUGCCAGCCGCCGCCGUAA
rnacentral:rRNA from 1 species